UACGUAGGGUGCGAGCGUUAAUCGGAAUUACUGGGCGUAAAGCGUGCGCAGGCGGUUCGUUAAGUCAGAUGUGAAAGCCCCGAGCUCAACUUGGGAACUGCAUUUGAAACUGGCGGGCUGGAGUGUGGCAGAGGGGGGUGGAAUUCCACGUGUAGCAGUGAAAUGCGUAGAGAUCGGGAGGAACAUCAGUGGCGAAGGCGGCCAUCUGGGACAACACUGACGCUGAGGCACGAAAGCGUGGGGAGCAAACAGG
rnacentral:rRNA from 1 species